rnacentral:rRNA from 1 species
GAUGAACGCUGGCGGCGUGCUUAACACAUGCAAGUCGAACGGAAAGGCCCAAGCUUGCUUGGGUACUCGAGUGGCGAACGGGUGAGUAACACGUGGGUGAUCUGCCCUGCACUUCGGGAUAAGCCUGGGAAACUGGGUCUAAUACCGGAUAGGACCACAUUUUGGAUGGUGUGGUGGAAAGUUUUUCGGUGUGGGAUGAGCUCGCGGCCUAUCAGCUUGUUGGUGGGGUAAUGGCCUACCAAGGCGUCGACGGGUAGCCGGCCUGAGAGGGUGUACGGCCACAUUGGGACUGAGAUACGGCCCAGACUCCUACGGGAGGCAGCAGUGGGGAAUAUUGCACAAUGGGCGCAAGCCUGAUGCAGCGACGCCGCGUGGGGGAUGACGGCCUUCGGGUUGUAAACUCCUUUCGCUAGGGACGAAGCGUUAUGUAACGGUACCUGGAGAAGAAGCACCGGCUAACUACGUG